rnacentral:rRNA from 1 species
AGACCCGAAACCCGGUGAUCUAGCCAUGGGCAGGUUGAAGGUUGGGUAACACUAACUGGAGGACCGAACCGACUAAUGUUGAAAAAUUAGCGGAUGACCUGUGGCUGGGGGUGAAAGGCCAAUCAAACCGGGAGAUAGCUGGUUCUCCCCGAAAGCUAUUUAGGUAGCGCCUCGUGAAUUCAUCUCCGGGGGUAGAGCACUGUUUCGGCUAGGGGGCCAUCCCGGCUUACCAACCCGAUGCAAACUGCGAAUACCGGAGAAUGUUAUCACGGGAGACACACGGCGGGUGCUAACGUCCGUCGUGAAGAGGGAAACAACCCAGACCGCCAGCUAAGGUCCCAAAGUCAUGGUUAAGUGGGAAACGAUGUGGGAAGGCCCAGACAGCCAGGAUGUUGGCUUAGAAGCAGCCAUCAUUUAAAGAAAGCGUAAUAGCUCACUGGUCGAGUCGGCCUGCGCGGAAGAUGUAACGGGGCUAAACCAUGCACCGAAGCUGCGGCAGCGACGCUGAUGCGUUGUUGGGUAGGGGAGCGUUCUGUAAGCCUGUGAAGGUGGCCUGUGAGGGUUGCUGGAGGUAUCAGAAGUGCGAAUGCUGACAUAAGUAACGAUAAAGCGGGUGAAAAGCCCGCUCGCCGGAAGACCAAGGGUUCCUGUCCAACGUUAAUCGGGGCAGGGUGAGUCGACCCCUAAGGCGAGGCCGAAAGGCGUAGUCGAUGGGAAACGGGUUAAUAUUCCCGUACUUGGUGUUACUGCGAAGGGGGGACGGAGAAGGCUAUGUUGGCCGGGCGACGGUUGUCCCGGUUUAAGCGUGUAGGUGUGUGUUCCAGGUAAAUCCGGUUCACUUUAACACUGAGGCGUGAUGACGAGGCACUACGGUGCUGAAGCAACAAAUGCCCUGCUUCCAGGAAAAGCCUCUAAGCAUCAGGUAACAUCAAAUCGUACCCCAAACCGACACAGGUGGUCAGGUAGAGAAUACCAAGGCGCUUGAGAGAACUCGGGUGAAGGAACUAGGCAAAAUGGUGCCGUAACUUCGGGAGAAGGCACGCUGACACGUAGGUGAAGUGAUUUACUCAUGGAGCUGAAGUCAGUCGAAGAUACCAGCUGGCUGCAACUGUUUAUUAAAAACACAGCACUGUGCAAACACGAAAGUGGACGUAUACGGUGUGACGCCUGCCCGGUGCCGGAAGGUUAAUUGAUGGGGUCAGCGCAAGCGAAGCUCCUGAUCGAAGCCCCGGUAAACGGCGGCCGUAACUAUAACGGUCCUAAGGUAGCGAAAUUCCUUGUCGGGUAAGUUCCGACCUGCACGAAUGGCGUAAUGAUGGCCAGGCUGUCUCCACCCGAGACUCAGUGAAAUUGAACUCGCUGUGAAGAUGCAGUGUACCCGCGGCAAGACGGAAAGACCCCGUGAACCUUUACUAUAGCUUGACACUGAACAUUGAGCCUUGAUGUGUAGGAUAGGUGGGAGGCUUUGAAGUGUGGACGCCAGUCUGCAUGGAGCCGGCCUUGAAAUACCACCCUUUAA